rnacentral:tRNA from 1 species
GGAGUUGUGGCUCAGUGGUAGAGCACUUGCCUCACAUGCAUGGAACACUGGGUUCAAUCCUUACCACCA